CUAAGGCAGGCAGACUUCAGUG
rnacentral:miRNA from 1 species